AGUGAACGCUGGCGGUAGGCCUAACACAUGCAAGUCGAACGGCAGCACAGUAAGAGCUUGCUCUUACGGGUGGCGAGUGGCGGACGGGUGAGGAAUACAUCGGAAUCUACUUUUUCGUGGGGGAUAACGUAGGGAAACUUACGCUAAUACCGCAUACGACCUACGGGUGAAAGCAGGGGAUCUUCGGACCUUGCGCGAUUGAAUGAGCCGAUGUCGGUUUAGCUAGUUGGCGGGGUAAAGGCCCACCAAGGCGACGAUCCGUAGCUGGUCUGAGAGGCUGGUCGGCCACCUUGGAACUGGGACACGGUCCAGGCUACUAAGGGAGGGAGCAGAGGGGAAUAUUGGACAAUGGGCGCAAGCCUGAUCCAGCCAUACCGCGUGGGUGAAGAAGGCCUUCGGGUUGUAAAGCCCUUUUGUUGGGAAAGAAAAGCAGCAGGUUAAUACCCCGCUGUUCUGACGGUACCCAAAGAAUAAGCACCGGCUAACUUCGUG
rnacentral:rRNA from 1 species